rnacentral:misc_RNA from 1 species
UGGUCUGUGUGCCGGAUCCUCCCA